UGUCGUGAUAUCUACAUCUGGUGACCCCGACGUGAUUCAGAAAAAACACCCUCGUACCCACUGGCAGGAUCAGCCAACGGUGCACCUCAGCGUACAGCUCCCAUUCGUAGCUGCAGUACUGGCAGAAGUGACCAGGGAGAAACCGGUUCGUCAAGCUGUCGUCGAACGUACCAAUCGUACCCUUAAAGAGCAUUUGCUUAAACAAAAACAAAAAGGAGGAGUACCACUGGGAUUGGCCACCAAAGAGGAGUGGCUGGCACAAGUGUUGUUUACCAUUAAUCAUUUAAAUUUGUCUCAAUCUCCCAAUACUCAUUUUUCCUUUUCUACUCGAGCGCAGCGGCAUUUUCAGCAGUCGGAGUCUCUACCUGCCCCGCGGGUGCAGUUUCGGCAACUACCAAAUCCAGAGUGGAAAGGCCCAGUUCCGCUUAUAACGUGGGGUCGAGGUUACGCGGCUGUGUCUACGCCUGACGGUCCUGUGUGGGUACCUGCUAGGUGUAUCCGGCCCUGGAAAGACGAUGUCCUGGCACGAUAAUCUUAAGAAUCCCAUCCCUAAUUUUUCUCUGCAACUUCAGGAUACUGGGAUGUCUUCCAGGAAGCGUGGUCGGAAUGUUCCGCAACCUCCCGUGACUUGGGGCCAAAUAAAGAACUUAGCAACACAAGCAGAAAAAGCAAUGGAACAAGCCGGGGUGGACAAGACAACUGAGAAUACCAUUCUUGCUUUAAUUGCGUCUUUAAAUACAAAUUCUAUUUUUGUACUUUGCAUUUGUUGGAUUUUAGGAAGCGCCGGGGCUGACAGGUUGGGGCAGGAGUUGGGGAUGCGGUUUCAACACAAUAUCUGGGUUCAGUUAGCAAGAAUGACAAAUGUGAGUGACUUUUGCAUGACUGAACAUGUACAGGAAAUGGGUAUGUUGGGAACAUGUUUAAUACCCGUAUGCAAAGCACCUGGGGAUAUUGGGAACAUUACAGGACUUGGGCGGUUCAUGAAUACUUCAGAGAUUAAAUAUCAUACUGUUUCGAAUUGGGGAACUCCAACCUUCCAGCUGCCUGUUAAUGCUUUUCAAUUAUUUACAUCACAUGUUGCAAAUUCCAUUAAUAAUACGUGUGCU